rnacentral:misc_RNA from 1 species
CACAACACAGACACACACAGACACGCACACACACACAAACACACACAUACACACAACACACACACAACAACAACACAACACAGCAGUACACACACACAGCACACACACACACACACACUCCUAGUGCUAGAACAAAACUUCAAGUGAUACAGAUAUUUGAUGCGAUGCGAUAAGGCUUUUACAUGCUCCUAUACCACGUCGGUUUCGAGCAUGUCCGCCCCAGCGUUCGGCCUCUGGAGGCCAGGGACCCAGUCUGGGGCAGAUUUGAGCUAAAUAUUUUAACCUGAGACCUUUUUACCGUGUAUUUCCAUCAUUCUACCCUCAAAAUUAUUUGUAAUCCAUGUAAAAAUGUUUAGUGAUAUGUUUGGAAUCCUACAUAGCUGUUGGGUAGUAAUGCUAAUAUGAAUAAAUGUUGUUAUCCCAAAUUCGGGCAUUUUCGUUUAAUUCGGGCAAAAGCUAGCCUUCCCCACCCGCACCCCUUACAAAAAUGGGGACCUGUACGUCUAUAUUGGCUGUUAUAUGAUUUUAUUAAUAUUUCAGUGGGCAUCGUUCCCGAUGCGGCAUGUGGCAGUAUAAGUUGUGGCUGUAAACACUUCAUGAACACGUGGGUGCCUAACUUCUGGAGCAGCACGCCGGUUGUGUCCGGGGUGAUGGUCAUGGACACCAUCAUGAACUUUGAUGAGACGAGGCAGUCACAGAAACUUCCAGUAUCAUCAGAGAUGAUGCGCACGCUGUUCCCUGUGGCAGCUAAAAGUAUUGCUAGUGACGGUUCCCAGGGCGAUUUUCUCACUGCAAUCGGCCGCCCAGCUGAUUCCCGAAUACUCGACGCCUUUGUGAAUCAGUUCCAGAAUCAGGGACAGGGCCGGUACAAGAUAGAGAAGCUCAACUUGUCUCCGCUGAAGGGAAAUAUCAUAUCGCAAGACGACAUUUCUAGAUACGACCAUUUCAUGCGAAGUGAUCAUGCUGUUUUCUGGCAGGCUGGAAUUCCCGCCAUUUUCAUAACCGACACGGCCGGCUUCAGAGGUUACAUGCAGAACUGCUACCAUAAACGCUGUGACACCAUGGAAAGAGUCACCGACAGCAUGAUUGAAUUUGCUGCCAAAACAUCCAGAGCUCUUGCAGCAACGGUCAACCAAAUGGCGCCCACACUUCCAAAUGUUAAUUCAGGACACCAAACAUUUCCGGAAGUCGUCAUCCUGUUCUGGGUUGUCUUUCUUGCAAUGCUGCCAAUGUGAAGUUAACAGCAUAAAAGUGCUUGACAAGCACCUCAGAACUUGAAAUUAAAAUUUGUAAUACAAAUUAUACCACAAGUAUGUAGAAUUGUAGAAUACAAAAUUAAAGACAGAAUACAAAAUGAACCAGACCUCUCUCACUAAACACUAAUCACUAACCCAGUGUCCUGGACGAACAGCCUAAAUAGCUGUCCACGACAGUGCGCUUGAACCGUAAUUGGGAAAUAAUUAUUAAAGAAAGCAUAAUUUUAGUGGAACCACAGUUAUUUAGAACUGUACAAAUAAAAUUCAAAAUAAAAAAUUCAAUUUUUCACCUUAAUUAUGUAGUACUGUAGGAAUCAAAAUCAAAAUACUUGUAUUGUUGUGCAAAUUGUAUUACAUUUAUGUAGAUGAGAAGAAUUGAAAAUAAAAAUAAUGAAGGCUAAUUGUACCAUGUGGCCCUUGAUUCAUAAGGAAAAAUACAGUAACUUUUAGAUAUGUAGAUAAAUAAAGAUUUUAAAUAAAUGUGUUUCGGUUUGAACAGUGUGGCGAGUAAAUGCUUUAGUUUAGUUUUAACCUUUGUAUAACGUACUACUUUUAUUAUACACUAAUAUUGUUUGAAAGACAUUUUUUCUGUCAAUCUGUUUUCCUUUUUGAUUUCUACUCUUACACACACACAUAAUAAUAUAAUUAUAUAUAUAUAUAUGUAUGUUAAUAUGUUUGUACAAAUUUGAUAAAAAAUAAAAAGUUUAACUGUA